rnacentral:lncRNA from 1 species
UAUAUAUAUAUAGAGGUAUUUUUCAGAAAACUGAUGUUAUAUACGUAGUAUAUAACGUCAGUCUUCUGAACAUAAUAGACUCUACUUUAAUGAAGUUUAUAUGAAUUUUUUUCUAGCUGUUAACGCACCGUAAUGUAUACUUAGCAUUAGGCUCUAACAAUGUAGUUAUUGUAGUUACUAUAUUUAGUACAUACGGUGGGGCGGGGUGGCGCCGAGCAGCUCUUCUUCUACAUAUUAGAAAAACGAAACUGGUGGUGAUUUUAACACCAGGAGCAUCUUUAACGUGCGAAUGCUACCUAAUACUUGCAAACCUACAGGGGUUCUUCAAGUGACGUGUUAGUCCUCAUUGCCUGUGAUGUCCGCUCGCUCUUGCCGAUUUUUUUGUCGAACUCAAAUUCACAAGCUGCCAUCAUAUAAUACUUCGUUUGGUCUUUUGGCCAUUAUAUAAUUUUAGUAAACUUACUCAGUAGUCGUUUGCUCAUGGUUGUGGUACGUGGUGCUGCUAGGGAGCCUGUUAAUUUUUUUCAUUCUUCAAUUUUCAUAAUGUACUUCAAAGUUCCAGGUAAUAAAUAAUGUCAUCUGAUAUCGAAUAGUUUACUAUUUACAAGUUACUAUAAAAGAAUCUGACGCUUGUCUUUUUUUAAGUUGUGGGAGUGUUAAAACUUUUAUGUAGCGGAUACAACGAAGAAAGCCGAUCGAUCCUAUCGUAUGUGCUAUACAAUAAUGGGUCUUUUCGCUCGUUCAAAUCGCGAUUUACUAAGCAAUCAAUCAUCCGUUACACUACGUAGAGCUCAGCAUUCUCGAACAGUCUGAAGCCCAUACAAUAAUAACAUGCUGCGGGUAUAUUUGAAACAUUCGUUCAAUAUAAACUACAAGUUUCUCCCAAAGGCUCCGUCUUGCAGAUACAUUAUAGAGCUAACCUGCCAUUACCGGCCGUCCAGAGUGCAAGCGAACAUCUCGUCCUUCCACCUUGCCUAUGAAGCGAAAAACUCUCGAUGUACUGAAACGUUAUCGUCAAACAAUUAGAACAAAUUGAAUAGGUAAGUCUGCAAAAAGCAUAUUGUUAAACGUUACAUGUAAGAAACAUCAGCAGAACCGUGGAACCGCCAAAGAAAUCUAUUGCCUCCGAUCGACGCGUCAUCUCGACUAGUAGCUCACUGGCACACAGGAUCCAAUGGCGUUUAAAUUCAAAGUGUGGAUUGUAGUAAUUUUUUUGAUAUUGGUGUUAUUGAUUACUGUUCAAACGAACCAGCCAAAUGGAGAAGUGUUAACGGACGCAGAUCCCAUUGAAUUAAGUCAAUGCCGAGCUAUCAACAAAGGCAAGUGGUGCACUUGCAGAAAAUUGCAGAACUUCGUCAAGACUAAAUUCGGCAAAGAACUUGGCCUCUUCAUUCCAGCGUGUGGUCGCUGGAAGCCUAAACUGUAUAUGUUGAAGCAGUGCGACGGAUUAAAGUGUUGGUGCGUGCAUCCCAAAACUGGACGAAUGAAAAACGGAACCCAUCGGACAGGUGGUGAGGUUCGUAGUCUUGAAUGCAAACUGAAGUAACGCUACCUGUACUCGCACUACAGGACCGCUAUCUAGAACAGAACUGGAUAACGCAUGGUACACAAGCAGUAUCCGGGAUCAGUUCCUCUGGUAUAUCUAUCCGUACGCCUCCUCAACACCGAAUUACCACAUGGGGCACAAUGUGACAGUCAAGUAAUAUGUAGAAGCAUAUAUCCAAAGGGAGAAUACGUAUUCCGUUCAACGUAUUGCACAGUCGAGUUACUAUAAAACACGCAGCCAUAGAAAGUUGCUCAGUAAAAUAAAUCCAAUAUCAUAUAAUUUACAAUUUCUUGUUACGUGUUCAUUUUGGGCAACAACAAAUAAUAUCCUAAAAAAAAUAAAAUUUCAAUUCAAUUUAUACGCUGCGCACUGGGUUUUGCGCGUGGCACGCUUGAGCUGUAAUAUUCCAGCUGGAUUUUCAGCUAACCUGUUGAAACUUAUCAAGGUGACACUGCAGCCUAAUUAUCUUAAUUACAAAUUGGAAUAAUUCAACGGAAUAAUAAUACUACUACUACUAUAAAUAAUAACAGUAAUAGUCAUUUGGAUACCAAUAAUAUAGGUAACCGAGGGCAAUUUAGCACACAUUUUCGAUCUAUAUGGUGCGACUCUUAUGGCUUUGAUCAGGCAAGUAAAGCGUCAUAGCUGAGCUAGAACCAAAUAGAAUUAUAAAGAGGAUCGCAGCUUAGCGUGGACUGUGACCCAAUAAAGAUGGGUGGCAAGGGAACGGGCACAUCUAGCGCUCUGGCGGUAUGAUGGUUUCUCCUUAUUGAAAUCUCUCCUUUCGUUUGCCUUCGUUAUUGUACCUUGCACGCUUUACUUAGCUCAUUUGAGAAGAAUAUAAAACUGAAACAGCCUCUAUAAAAAUAAUAAAAUUGUUCUAAAUUUAUCAAUCAUGAUAUUCCUCUUCUUUCUCUCACUUGCUAUAUAGUACAUCCACAAAUUCAAUAGCAUCGUCUAUCUAGAGUCAACGGUCGUAACUGCCACCACUUCACUAUCAUGACAAUGGUUCGCAGGGACCAGGCGCGUGGUUGCCCUGCUCACGUGCGCUUCUACGAAACGGCAUCCCUAAAUAUCACGAUAACAUAUUAGAUUCUGUAUGCUGUGUAUUACAGCGUUAUUUCGGUUAGUUAGGGUAAGUUCUUCCAACUUCCGAGGAGAACGGACGCAGCGUAUUUGCUAAGUUGGACAUAGUUAUGGUUUACCGUUAGCAACUGAAACACGACGAGAUGCCGGUCCGUAACUUCGUUUAUGCGAAUUGACUCUUCUAUACUAUCCAAAUCGAAUAGAGAAAUACUGCGUUCAGGAGCAGCGCGUCUAGAUCCGUGUGUGCAACAUGGCCAACGAUAUAAACAAGCACUUCGAUGCGGACAAACAUAGGAUAGAAGUUUCUACGAAAGUAGUUGGGAAGCAGCUAACAAUUGCAUGUAGACUAGCGCUACUCUAGCUCACUGGCUCGUAAUUCAUAGCUGCUACGCUCGACAACGUUCCUAGAGAGGAGCUACCGAAAGAGCAGGGAUUUCUGCUGCGUUUUCUGAAGGGGAUUUUUCCAGCCUUUACGCUCUCGCUAAAAAUCUGUUGCGCCUGUAUCACCAGGGAUUUUCGUACAAACCCCCUAUCCCAGCAACUAUUCAGUGGAACUGGCCGCUGUUGCACAUGAUAUAAAUCAGCCAGCAGUUCAUGUAUCGAUUGGAACAAUUUACGUAACCAUUAUGCUACAUCGGCCUAGACGACUGUCAACUAAUUCUGUCACUCUUCUAUCUGACAUAUGCAGUAUUUUAUGAUUCGUGUAUCAUAUGUGGAGAUAUUCCAUUUUUAAAACCUCGAAAGGUGACAAGUGAGCCAAAUUAUGAAAUAGUGACCGACUUUAGUAUAGGCAAGAAUGUUUUCUAUAAUAUUAUGUGCUGGUACGAGGAUGACCAAUUGAAUAAACUUAUCAACGUUAAGUUACUUUCUUGCGCCUAAUACAAUGUUCAGUGGACAGGUUCUGGCCACCCUAUGAUGCUUGAGCUUAAAAGCCGGUAUUUAUAUUUACCUUUCUCUUUUUACAAGUAAUGCAAUAUGAUUAGAAUGGACAACAAUCAAUAGUAGAUUAUUUUGGCUGAAUUUUAAUCUCCUGCUCUUACAUGGUAUAUUGAAAAUAAUCUCUAUAUAUUUAAAAUAAAAUAGUAAAACUUUCACGGAAGAGCAUUUUCCAACUUGAUGAUAUGAAACAUAAAUUCUGUGUUGGGUGAAGGAGAAACCUCAAGCUACGUUACUUCGAGGACUCGUCAGCGUCAAAUUUGCGGAUCAGCUUCGUUUAUUGAAUAGCUACUAUUCGUUCUGUAGUUUGGAUCACCAACGGCGCGAAACGAGCGGGAAAGCUCGUUUUAAGUCCUAAGACUUCCGUAUCGUUUCUUUUUGUCAAUGCGCCAAAAAGUCGCGUAUGUCACUCACGCAGGGGAGACAUGCUGGGCACAUCUCAUUAUAUUGAGACAUCGAAAGUGGAAAGUUCCACAUAUACGGUGUACACAUAUACAUGAAACUACGUCGGAGCAAAAAAAAAUUCUUUUUUUUCCAAAACAAAAAGAGCUUUUUAAGCAAAACAAAAGAUAAGUCAAUAUUAUGAAAGAAAUAGUAUGGUGCACAGGCUUUUACACAAGUAGCAUUUGUGUCUGAAGUUCUAUACCGUUCAACGAAUCUGUAUAGGAAAAACCUUCCCGUUUCUAAUCAUCACCUAGGGGCUGGUUCUAGUAAAAGUCCGUCUAUAUUGUCUAACAUGUUUCUUCAUUAAAGCCUAAAGGAAAGCAAACACCCUUUUCCGUUGUCAAUGCUAGUCCAAAGGCCUUGUUCUUACAACAACUUACACUAUAAGCUACAGUUUCAUUAUAGUUGCGUUUGAUUCAUGACAAACACGCAGCUUUUGGCAGUCUAGGUGACCAAAUUAACGCGUAUCCAUGCAGGCCUUAGGUCAGUACUAUACACUGAUUCAUUGAAAGGGUGAGUUUGCUGACACGCCACAUGUCUAAAGCUUAGAACGGGUCCACUUCAGACACUGUUCCAGGCAUUUCAAUGAGGCAGCUAUUGGGUUGGUUUCUUCAGCUGGCAAAUUCCAAAUUUAGUUCAAAUUUGUCUAUUUACAGCUCGAGCCUUACCGAACAAGUCGUUCGAGCAUCAGACGCUGGGUAGAAACGCUGACGUAAUGGUUGCUUUCACCUUCGGCCACCGCCUACGGCGAUCCUAAUUAGGCCACACGAGGCUACUUACGUGUAGAUAGACUAGCGAUGACAUCAAUUUUUCGUAUGCAUUUUGAGAAGCUUUAAGGAAACAGCACGAAGGUAUAGUUUAUCGUUGUAGUGAGGUGUUAUUGACCGUUCAAGUCGUUUGUCUCUGUGGCCAUUGCUUGUUAGUAACUGACUUGAGAUGUUUACAUCACAGGACCCUAAAUGGUUUUGUAUGCUAUACCUCUUCCCCGGCUUACCCAAUAACUAUCAGUAAUGCGUAUUCACCUAUUUUGUUCAUUAAGCCAAUUUCUAUUGCACCUUUGUAUAUUGUUCUAUUUCUCAAAUUUUUCGUAUCCUGCCCGCCAAGUGUUUUACGCCACCGGAAAGCUCUUUUUCUGCUCUUCGAAACUAAUACACGGUUCGUCUAGUUUGGGUAGCAAAGUUUCAUCUUGGAUUUGUAUUGUGAAGUGGCGCAUAUCGCAUGAAAAAAGAAGUAACGAAGCAAUUUUACUUGAGUUUUUAUAACUUAUAUUGUUAGUUAUUGAAUUUUCCUCGUACACGCCAUUCCUACCCCUGGUGACUUUUCGAUUUACGCUGGAGAUGAAUAAUAUUCCCUUGAAGGAUUUUUCCAACACGAUUGAGUGUUCGAUCAUUAGCAAAUGAACAUGUUUUCAAAUACGAAAUAUAACGAGUGUCAAAUGGUGGCACAGAGAGCACCAGUGGGUUUAUUACUAAUACCCAUCAGUGCCGAUUCAAAAUGGGCUGCUUAGGAAAAGGUCAUCGAAUGCUUUUUCACGCACUACUUUUAUUAUCAGGAUUAGCAUAACGUACUCCAGUAAUAAGAUCGUCUCGUAUGGAUAUCGUAGCAGCCAAAGCUACGGAGACCGCCGCUGAUUUGUAAUACUACUGAGAGCGAAUGUACAACUUGUUAAAUUGGGGAAUAACAGAAGAAUUUCUAUCGUCUGGGCAGCAUUACAAUGCAAUCGAACGUUUUUUACACGUUUCACGCGAAGCUUUUUACAGGCUGCAAUUCAUUAUGGGUCUUGUUAGCCACACUAGCAGAUUGUGGCAAGCGUGACUGAGCUAGAUGUAGAACGUGAAACCGCAGCAAAUAUCAAACGGUGUUUUUUUUUUGUAAAACGGGACUGAUAGUACACAAAACUAGAAAUCUGUGUAAUGACUCAGAUGUAUUAAUUUAUAAUACCAAUGCCUAGAAGUCUGCCUCAGGUUUCAAUUACCGUUGCCAUUGCUUGCUGGAUGAAGGCAAAUAUGAGCGUAGAUCUGUUCGAAACGUAGGUGAACAUCAUAUACAAAGUGAGCAAUGGAAUCCGUAAAAUAGCUUAAUCAGCCAGUGUUUGUAAUGGACUAAAUAAAGGGAGGUCAAGAAUAGGGACAUGACUAUUUUCGACAACCACCCUUCAUUCAGAAACACAUAUAGGUCGCGAUAUGUACUGUUGUAACAUCAAGUCACAACUAGAAGGUUCGAUAAGAUGAAAGAAGUGAGGCAAAGUUCAAGGGACACGUAUACAGAUUGGACAGGUACGAGGCGCAGCGCAGGCCUGCGGCAAUUACCUUCAAAGAAAUUUCAGAACCGGAAGCUGUGAGGCAUUCGAACUCAAUGUCGGUAAAGAAAUACUGAUGGAAUGUUUAAAGUAAAAAAUUAAUCAACGGUGUUGGUUGUUAUUAUUAUUUCAGAUCAAAAUAAGCAAGCCAACAAGAUAAGGCGGCUGCAUUAAGAGAAAUAGAACAAAAAUGUGUUAUAAGAUGUUCCUAGAAGUGCACAGAGGUCGGCCUGAAUAAUUUCGAAACGAGACCAUAUAUACAAAAAAAUCUGUGUGCAGUAAUGUUGUGCCGUCCUAUCGACUAGCUGAAUCAUACGUUCAUACACGUAGAGUCAGUUAGAAGAAAAAGAAGAAGAAACUAAAAGUCACCAUUAAUGUUAGUCUACAUUGAACAAAACAGUGCGACGUUAGCUAACAGACAAAAGUUAAGAAACAACCGUAGCAAAGUAAGCAGAAAAAGCAGUUAAAAUUAGUAAUUACCUACGAUCCGAAAACAGCUAGUUGUUAUAAAUGUGAUAGAUCAUCGAUUACAAAGAUUCUAGUCCAUAGCACAAGUGAUAUCGUUAAGCGGGAACAGCUUCAAACGAAGUGCAUUUUUGAAGACCACAGACAGAAUAAAUUCAUUUGUGCUAAAAACAGUGCGCUUCUUUCUAUUGGCCCACAUCUCAUGCGCCCAGGCACGUUUAUUGUUUAUGAUUUAUAAACAUCUAGGGCAUUUCGUCUCUACUAAGACAUAUUGAGUGGGCGGAGCGCAACUUUUUAUUAGAACUAAUUCCAGUAAGCAAGUACAGAGAACUGUUCAUACAACCUGAAGCUAUAAUUUAUUUUUAGAAAAUGACGUUGAGAACAAAAGACCAGUUUUUCGGGUAUACCUCUUAACCUAUUAUAUCUAGAGAAAGUAAAGUCGUAGUGCAACGAGCCCUCGAUGAUUUUCCUUUUGCUCGCUAAAUGUAAUGUUGUCUAAGUAGGCAGUGGUGUGGUGAUGUUUGACACUGCUAGUCGUUAGGCUACAUGAUGUAGUUUUGACGCAUGUAACGAUAGUUGCAAUACGUUUUGACGUACGUGAAUAAGAAGCAACGGCAAUGAGCGCUAUUUUCGAAAUUAUGAAGUGUGACCUGUCGGCUGUUUUCACCCAUGGCGGGAUCUCAGCGGAUUCCCUCUUUCGCGUGUCGGUCGCACUCCCAUCCGUGCCUCCUUGAAUACUGCGCUAUUUUUUCAUCCUGUGCAACGGGCCAAAGAGCUCAUACAAAUAGACAGCAACAAAAAUAAAUGUGGGUAAUGAUACUGUAGCUAGGUUUUUCUUUUCUACCAUAUCGCGCAUCUUCAUUUGGUCGA